rnacentral:rRNA from 1 species
CCUACGGUGGCUGCAGUGGGGAAUAUUGGACAAUGGGCGAAAGCCUGAUCCAGCCAUGCCGCGUGUGUGAAGAAGGCCUUCGGGUUGUAAAGCACUUUCAGUGGGGAAGAAAGCCUUGGGGCUAAUACCCUCGAGGAAGGACAUCACCCACAGAAGAAGCACCGGCUAACUCCGUGCCAGCAGCCGCGGUAAUACGGAGGGUGCGAGCGUUAAUCGGAAUUACUGGGCGUAAAGCGCGCGUAGGCGGUCUGAUAAGCCGGUUGUGAAAGCCCCGGGCUCAACCUGGGAACGGCAUCCGGAACUGUCAGGCUAGAGUGCAGGAGAGGAAGGUAGAAUUCCCGGUGUAGAGGUGAAAUGCGUAGAGAUCGGGAGGAAUACCAGUGGCGAAGGCGGCCUUCUGGACUGACACUGACGCUGAGGUGCGAAAGCGUGGGUAGCAAACAGGAUUAGAUACCCUGUAGUC